rnacentral:lncRNA from 1 species
GAAGGAGGGGGCACAUUGAAAGGCAGCCGGACACGGAAGUGCUCGGCCCCGCACCAGACACGGCGUGGAGGGGAAGCGAAGGUUCGGAAGGGCAAAGCGAGAGUCCCGUUCGUCCCCGUCACCACCCCGCGGCCCUCCCGGACAGGGCCGGCCCGCUGCCCUCACUCCCGUACGAGGGUCGCCCAGUCCCCACGGCUCUCGGCUCUCAGCUCUCAGCGGUCAAACCGUUGGGCUCCUCGGGCGAAAAGGGACGCGCCCGAGAAGACUUACACUUCCAUGACGUCCCGCCUCGUCGCCCCUAGCUGCCAGCAGACAAAGAACCUCACACUUCACAGCUGUCUCCGCCGCCACCAACAGCGCCAAGGUGCCAGCUCCGCGCGCCAAGGUGCUCGCCGGGAUCGCCGCGCUGCA